rnacentral:rRNA from 1 species
CGUCUGGAGAGUUUGAUCCUGGCUCAGGGCGAACGCUGGCGGCGUGCCUAAAACAUGCAAGUCGAGCGGGGGUUGGCCGCGGGGCAACCCGCGGUUUCAGCUCUAGCGGCGAACGGGUGAGUAACACGUGGGUAACCUACCCCGAAGACGGGGAUAACCCCGGGAAACCGGGGCUAAUACCCGAUACCCUCCUCUGGGGGCAUCCCCGGGGGAGGAAAGGGUUGGGCGCAAGCCCUUCCGCUUCGGGAUGGGCCCGCGGCCUAUCAGCUCGUUGGUGGGGUAACGGCCCACCAAGGCGAUGACGGGUAGCUGGCCUGAGAGGGUGGCCAGCCACACUGGCACUGAGACACGGGCCAGACUCCUACGGGAGGCAGCAGUUGGGAAUCUUGGGCAAUGGGCGCAAGCCUGACCCAGCGA